rnacentral:rRNA from 1 species
GACGAACGCUGGCGGCGUGCCUAAUACAUGCAAGUUGAGCGCUGAAGGUUGGUCCUUGUACCAACUGGAUGAGCAGCGAACGGGUGAGUAACGCGUGGGGAAUCUGCCUUUGAGCGGGGGACAACAUUUGGAAACGAAUGCUAAUACCGCAUAAAAACUUUAAACACAAGUUUUAAGUUUGAAAGAUGCAAUUGCAUCACUCAAAGAUGAUCCCGCGUUGUAUUAGCUAGUUGGUGAGGUAAAGGCUCACCAAGGCGAUGAUACAUAGCCGACCUGAGAGGGUGAUCGGCCACAUUGGGACUGAGACACGGCCCAAACUCCUACGGGAGGCAGCAGUAGGGAAUCUUCGGCAAUGGACGAAAGUCUGACCGAGCUACGCCGCGUGAGUGAAGAAGGGUGUCGGAUCGUAAAACUCUGUUGGUAGAGAAGAACGUUAGUGAGAGUGGAAAGCUCAUCAAGUGACGGUAACUACCCAGAAAGGGACGGCUAACUACGUG